ACGAACGCUGGCGGCGUGCCUUAAACAUGCAAGUCGAACGGUCCUUCUCGCGAGGGAAGGGCAGUGGCGAACGGCUGAGUAACACGUAAGUGACCUGCCCAGAUGUGGGGGGUACCCCCGAGAAAUCGGGGCUAAUACCGCAUAAGCUUACCUGAGACAUACAGGUAAGGAAAGCUCGAAAGGGCGCAUUUGGAGGGGCUUGCGGCCCAUCAGGUAGUUGGAGAGGUAAAGGCUCACCAAGCCCGUGACGGGUAGCUGGUCUGAGAGGAUGAUCAGCCAGACUGGGACUGAGACACGGCCCAGACUCCUACGGGAGGCAGCAGUUGGGAAUCUUGCGCAAUGGGCGAAAGCCUGACGCAGCGACGCCGCGUGGGGGACGAAGGUCUUCGGAUUGUAAACCCCUUUUGUCGGGGAAGACACAAGACGGUACCCGGCGAAUAAGCCCCGGCUAACUACGU
rnacentral:rRNA from 1 species